CAGAGUCAAUGUGGAGGCUAUAUACAGGGGGUACCGGUACAGAGUCAAUGUGGAGGCUAUAUACAGGGGGUACCGGUACAGAGUCAAUGUGGAGGCUAUAUACAGGGGGUACCGGUACAGAGUCAAUGUGGAGGCUAUAUACAGGGGUUACCGGUACAGAGUCAAUGUGGAGGCUAUAUACAGGGUAUUACGGUACAGAGUCAAUGUGGAGGCUAUAUACAGGGGGUACCGGUACAGAGUCAAUGUGGAGGCUAUAUACAGGGGGUACCGGUACAGAGUCAAUGUGGAGGCUAUAUACAGGGGGGUACAGGUACAGAGUCAAUGUGGAGGCUAUAUACAGGGGGUACCGGUACAGAGUCAAUGUGGAGGCUAUAUACAGGGGGUACCGGUACAGAGUCAAUGUGGAGGCUAUAUACAGGGGGUACCGGUACAGAGUCAAUGUGGAGGCUAUAUACAGG
rnacentral:lncRNA from 1 species